CGUGGGUGACCUGCCCUCGGCACCGGGAUAGCCCGGGGAAACCCGGAUUAAUACCGGAUGGCCCUUCCGCUCCUCGGAGCGGUCGGAAAAGGUAGCUUCGGCCUCCGGCCGAGGAUGGGCCCGCGGCGGAUUAGCUGGUUGGUGAGGUAACGGCUCACCAAGGCUCCGAUCCGUAGCUGGUCUGAGAGGACGAUCAGCCACACUGGGACUGAGACACGGCCCAGACCCCUACGGGAGGCAGCAGUAGGGAAUCUUGCGCAAUGGGCGAAAGCCUGACGCAGCGACGCCGCGUGCGGGAAGACGGCCUUCGGGUUGUAAACCGCUUUCAGGAGGGACGAAGCCACUCGGGUGAAUAGCCCAGAGGGUGACGGUACCUCCAGAAGAAGCCCCGGCUAACUACGUGCCAGCAGCCGCGGUAAUACGUAGGGGGCAAGCGUUGUCCGGAUUUAUUGGGCGUAAAGCGCGUGUAGGCGGCCAGGUAGGUCGAUUGUGAAAAUUGGAGGCUCAACCUCCAGACGUCGAUCGAAACCGUCUGGCUAGAGUCCGGAAGAGGAGAAUGGAAUUCCUGGUGUAGCGGUGAAAUGCGCAGAUAUCAGAAGAACACCGAUGGC
rnacentral:rRNA from 1 species